GCACAGGGGAGCUUUAUGGCUGAGAGGAAAUUUUGUUUCGACCCUAUAACCUGAUUUGGAUAAUGCCAACGGAGGGAGUUUUUAU
rnacentral:ncRNA from 1 species